rnacentral:rRNA from 1 species
GACGAACGCUGGCGGCGUGCCUAAUACAUGCAAGUAGAACGCUGAAGCUUGGUGCUUGCACCGAGCGGAUGAGUUGCGAACGGGUGAGUAACGCGUAGGUAACCUGCCUGGUAGCGGGGGAUAACUAUUGGAAACGAUAGCUAAUACCGCAUAAGAGUAGAUGUUGCAUGACAUUUGCUUAAAAGGUGCAAUUGCAUCACUACCAGAUGGACCUGCGUUGUAUUAGCUAGUUGGUGAGGUAACGGCUCACCAAGGCAACGAUACAUAGCCGACCUGAGAGGGUGAUCGGCCACACUGGGACUGAGACACGGCCCAGACUCCUACGGGAGGCAGCAGUAGGGAAUCUUCGGCAAUGGACGGAAGUCUGACCGAGCAACGCCGCGGGAGUGAAGAAGGUUUUCGGAUCGUAAAGCUCUGUUGUAAGAGAAGAACGAGUGUGAGAGUGGAAAGUUCACACUGUGACGGUAUCUUACCAGAAAGGGACGGCUAACUACGUG